CUCCAGAUGUUGCUGAACUACAACUCCCAUGAGUCUAUGAAUGAAAUAGAUAGGCUGAGAAUCAUGGGAGUUGUAGUUCAGCAACAUCUGGAG
rnacentral:miRNA from 1 species